rnacentral:rRNA from 1 species
UGUAGCAUACAAGGCAUACGGCUCAGUAACGCGUAGUCAACCUAACCUAUGGACGGGAAUAACCUCGGGAAACUGAGAAUAAUGCCCGAUAGAACACUAUACCUGGAAUGGUUUGUGUUCCAAAUGAUUUAUCGCCAUAGGAUGGGACUGCGGCCUAUCAGUUUGUUGGUGAGGUAAUGGCCCACCAAGACUAUUACAGGUACGGGCUCUGAGAGGAGUAGCCCGGAGAUGGGUACUGAGACACGGACCCAGGCCCUAUGGGGCGCAGCAGGCGAGAAAACUUUGCAAUGUGCGAAAGCACGACAAGGUUAAUCCGAGUGAUUUGUGCUAAACGAAUCUUUUGUUAGUCCUAGAAACACUAACGAAUAAGGGGUGGGCAAGUUCUGGUGUCAGCCGCCGCGGUAAAACCAGCACCUCAAGUGGUCAGGAUGAUUAUUGGGCCUAAAGCAUCCGUAGCCGGCUCUGUAAGUUUUCGGUUAAAUCUGUACGCUUAACGUACAGGCUGCCGGGAAUACUGCAGAGCUAGGGAGUGGGAGAGGUAGACGGUACUCGGUAGGAAGUGGUAAAAUGCUUUGAUCUAUCGAUGACCACCUGUGGCGAAGGCGGUCUACCAGAACACGUCCGACGGUGAGGGAUGAAAGCUGGGGGAGCAAACCGGAUUAGAUACCUGGUAGUCCCAGCUGUAACUAUGCAACUCAGUGGAUGCAAUGGCUUGUGGUCCAAUGCAGUUGGCUGC